UACGUAGGGGGCUAGCGUUGUCCGGAAUCAUUGGGCGUAAAGCGCGCGUAGGCGGCCAGAUAAGUCCGGUGUGAAAGUCACAGGCUCAACCUGUGAAUGCCGCUGGAAACUGUCUGGCUUGAGUCCGGAAGGGGCGAGUGGAAUUCCUGGUGUAGCGGUGAAAUGCGCAGAUAUCAGGAGGAACACCAAUGGCGAAGGCAGCUCGCUGGAACGGUACUGACGCUGAGGCGCGAAAGCGGUGGGAGAACGGGAUUAGAACCUCCGAGUCAGUCCAAGCCA
rnacentral:rRNA from 1 species